CCCCGUCGCCGCCCGGCCACCUUGCGCCUCGCCGCUUCCCGGCCUCCGCACGCCGCGCCGCAUCCCCAUCACCAGCGCCCGGUCGUGCGAGAACCAUGCCCCCACCAACCCAGCUGACCUUCACCAUGCUGCAGCACCACCACACCAUUUCCUGCCAGUGGGGAUCCGCCGCCGAAUCCAGGCAUAUCGGCGCGGCGCCCUCCGCCUCUUUCUGUCUUCCCUCGGUGACGCUCCUCCACCAUCACUCUGCCAGGUUCCAGCGGGGGCUCCACAUGCCGCUACGUCAGUCCAAAUCCCGCUACCCAGGCCGACCACCACCAAGUUCCUCUUUGCUCCACCCCCACAUCGGGUUGCAGCUCGGGCCCCUCGGUGCCGCAUCUGGUAGAGCUCGCUGCCCUGCUGUGGUUCUAACAGGGGAUGGACGUGCUGGCAUACACAGGAAGAUCGAGGCCCUCGUCUGGUACGUCCAGUUUUGAUCGCGAUGCUUUUCUACUCAUGACACUGGAGCCCCCACUACGCACAAGUACGUGGUGGAAGUUUGUAUCAGUUCGCACCUUCCAUAAAGUUUGUAAGUACAAAGAUAUCACCUUGAUGUAGUAUGUAAAUAUGUAUUGCAAAUUUGCAAUUCAGGAAUGGGUGUGUGUGUUGUAGUCUCUGCCUACAGAGUCGAUAUGUGUUUUUGUAGUGUUGGUAGUUGUAGUCUCCCGCGCUCUCUGCCGUCGUCAAGGGCGCAUGUGUGCCGUCCUCAGUCCAACCCCAUGGCAUCAGGGUGGUCGAGUUCGUCGCGACCAGCAGUCCAUGGCUGUCGGUUUCAACUUUAUUCCACCUAGCUGCCAAUGUGGUCGCUGGGGCUAGUCAACUGGAAGAUCUACAUGUCAUCAGUCCAACUUCUUGCCCCGCCGCCGGUCACUCAAAAAAGAGUCGCGUGUAGGCCACCCCAUGCUCCGCCCCCUGAUCCGGCGUUUUUGUUUCAAAAUUUUAAGAAGAAUAUCAGUCCAAUAGCAGUCCAAUUUGCAAACCAAUAGCAGUCCGCGGGCCACUACUACAGCAAAUAUCCGAGUUUUCUUGUUGAUUUAUGAGGGAUACCACAAGUUCUAUUUUUACAGAAGUUGAACUACAGGAUAUGAAGUUUGAUGGAUGUGGAGGUCGAAGGAGCUCCCUUCAGUUCAAUGGAUUCAACAAAAUAAUCCAUGUUGCCUACUAGAACUUGCGUGUGUGCUGUGGCAUGUGUGCUGCUGCAUGCCUGGUGCCUGAUGCGGCGUGCGAGCAUGUACACAAAUUGAACUGAAUGAUCUCCAGAUUUUGCAGGGUCUUUGGGUUAGAAGUGGUUAAUUGGUUAGCCCCUGGAGCUUGUCCGCGAGCUAGGCGCUGGGCCAACCACAAGGCAAACGCCACCAGGUAGGGCGCCAGACGGCUGCCGUGCGUGGCGUGAGCCUUUCCGACCCCAUUUCCAGGUUAAGCGCCAAGGAUCUCAUCGUCGGGUUCGCAAAAGCACUAGCGCCUCUGCUUCCAAUUUUCUUCAAAAGUUCUGCUAACCAAUUAGCCACUGAUAAGAUGACUUUACUUCCAACUAGCCACUCAAAAGUUGUGGCCAUUUAAUGACACCUUCUACAUUUGAGACAUGUGAAAUUGUAACCUUCCAAUGUUACCGUUUGGUAGCUCAGGAUGCUUUAUGUUUUGGAGAUCUACAGAGUGACUAUCUGAGAGCUGUGUUGGACUUUCUCAUUACAGCAUGGAACUUCUCUGAAAAUCCCAGUUGAUUUUUAAUGUUUGCUCCUCAUCAGUUCUAAAAAUCUCAGAGCAUCCGUCCAACUAUGUAUCAGGAUAUACUAUGUUGUAAAUUUAUGUAUGCUUGUAUGUGCAAAAAUA